UACUCAGUUCGGAUUGUAGGCUGCAACUCGCCUACAUGAAGUCGGAAUUGCAGUAAUCGCGGAUCAGCAUGCCGCGGUGAAUACGUUCCCGGGCCUUGUACACACCGCCCGUCACACCAUGGAAGUUGGUAACACCCGAAGCCUGUAGCCUAACCGCAAGGAGGGGCGCAGUCGAAGGUGGGGAUUGAUGACUGGGGUGAAGUCGUAACAAGGUACC
rnacentral:rRNA from 1 species